rnacentral:rRNA from 1 species
GACGAACGCUGGCGGCGUGCUUAACACAUGCAAGUCGAACGAAGUGGCGAACGGGUGAGUAACGCGUAAUCAACCUGCCCUUCAGAGGGGGACAACAGUUGGAAACGACUGCUCAUACCGCAUACUGAAGGAGGGGAUUGCGUCUGAUUAGCUAGUUGGAGGGGUAACGGCCCACCAAGGCGAUGAUCAGUAGCCGGUCUGGGAUGAUGAACGGCCAAAUUGGGAAUGAGAGACGGCCCAGACUACUACGGGAGGAAGCAGUGGGGAAUUUUCCGCAAUGGACGAAAGUCUGAAGGAGCAACGCCGGGGGAGUGAUGACGGCCUUCGGGUUGGAAAGCGCUGUUAAUCGGGACGCGGUACCGGAAUAGAAAGCCACGGCUAACUACGUGCCAGCAGCCGCGGUAAUAC